GUCCACGCCGUAAACGAUGAGAACUAGCCGUUGGACCCCAUGAGGGUUUAGUGGCGUAGCUAACGCGAUAAGUUCUCCGCCUGGGGAGUACGGCAGCAAGGCUAAAACUCAAAUGAAUUGACGGGGGCCCGCACAAGCGGUGGAGCAUGUUGUUUAAUUCGAUGCAACGCGAAGAACCUUACCACCCCUUGACAUCCUCGGAACUUGGCAGAGAUGCCUUGGUGCCUUCGGGAACCGAGAGACAGGUGCUGCAUGGCUGUCGU
rnacentral:rRNA from 1 species